GACGAACGCUGGCGGCAUGCUUAACACAUGCAAGUCGAACGGAAAGGCCCUGCUUUUGUGGGGUGCUCGAGUGGCGAACGGGUGAGUAACACGUGAGUAACCUGCCCUUGACUUUGGGAUAACUUCAGGAAACUGGGGCUAAUACCGGAUAGGAGCUCCUGCUGCAUGGUGGGGGUUGGAAAGUUUCGGCGGUUGGGGAUGGACUCGCGGCUUAUCAGCUUGUUGGUGGGGUAGUGGCUUACCAAGGCUUUGACGGGUAGCCGGCCUGAGAGGGUGACCGGCCACAUUGGGACUGAGAUACGGCCCAGACUCCUACGGGAGGCAGCAGUGGGGAAUAUUGCACAAUGGGCGGAAGCCUGAUGCAGCAACGCCGCGUGCGGGAUGACGGCCUUCGGGUUGUAACCCGCUUUCGCCUGUGACGAAGCGUGAGUGACGGUAAUGGGUAAAGAAGCACCGGCUAACUACGUG
rnacentral:rRNA from 1 species